AAUGGCAUUCGUGGGAUUUUGGAACUCAAGUCUGGUAAUAAUUGGAGGGGUUUGGGACUAGGACUCGAGAGAGCUGAGUUCGAAUCCUCGUUCAGUCAAGGAAACUCACUGAGGGACUGGAAUGGAAAAAGCCACUCCUUAAAUAUCGCACUAAUCCUUGAAAUCCCUAUUAGGGGUUUGUAUAAAUUGGUUCUGACUCCACAGCCCACAACAGAAUGUCUGAUUCCGCUAAGCGCAUGUACCUCCUCUAUCUGUCUUUUCAGAGCUGGCAGCUUGAAAUAUGGGACAGAGGAUGUCUGCACCAGUUAUAGAAUCAGUUAUAGAAGCAAAGGGUUGAAAGAUAAGUCAUGCUGAAUUACUAAGCACUUUACCAAACCUGGGACUAAUUUGAUAGCCAUUUGGUUACAGAAUAUACUGGAUAAAAGUGACUCAAAAUGAAAUCAUCUAUCUGUUAUCUGAUAGGCACAAGGCGGUAACAGUGAGAGCAGCAAGAUUCACAUUUACUGCUCAGAGGUUAAGGAGGGAGUGUCUGAAGACCACGUGAUUAAUUGAAAUGACCUAUUUUUUAAAAAUUGAACUUACGAAUGCAUUUUAAGCUUUUUUUUUCGUACUUUGUUUUUCAUCCAGCAUUUUGGUAAAUGUGUGUAUUUAUAUUCGUACUUUUUAAUUUGCUAGCGUUGCAUUGGUUAAGCGGGCACCAUACUCAUGUAUAUAUCACUACUCGUACUUAUGUAUACUUGGUGAAAGUGGAACACCCAAAGAAGUCAAACAGCAAUCAAGUAUUCCCUAAGUAGUUGGUUGAAGUCUGUUUCAUAGAGCAAUGUAACGCUUGGUGCUCGCUAGAAGAGAAAUUGUGAAAAAUACCUUCCUAAACGUUCCUCCUAUUACAGCAGAAGACUUUUAAGCUUCUCUGUAUUUUCUGGUUCAACCCCAGUGUCACUUCACAACUCGCUGAUUUGUACGCUAGCUCCUUCCAGUGGUUAACUCUCCGCCUAUGUAGGAGUUUACAG
rnacentral:lncRNA from 1 species